AUUGAACGCUGGCGGCAUGCCUAACACAUGCAAGUCGAGCGGAGCGGCGGACGGGUGAGUAAUGCCUAUGACUCUGCCUGGUUGUGGGGGAUAACGUCCGUUAACGGGCGCUAAUACCGCAUACUAUCAGAUGAGCCUCUGUCGGAUUAGCUCGUUGGGGGGGUAAAGGCCUACCAAGGCGCCGAUCCGUAACUGGUCUGAGAGGAUGAUCAGUCACACGGGAACUGGGACACGGUCCAGACUCGUACGGGAGGCAGCAGUGGGGAAUAUUGGAGAAUGGGCGAAAGCCUGAUCCAGCCAUGCCGCGUGUGUGAAGAAGGUCUUCGGAUUGUAAAGCACUUUAAGUUGGGAGGCGUUACCAACAGAAUAAGCACCGGCUAACUUCGUGCCAGCCGCCGCGGUAAUAC
rnacentral:rRNA from 1 species